rnacentral:rRNA from 1 species
CAGCAGGCGCGCAAAUUACCCACUCCCGGCACGGGGAGGUAGUGACGAAAAAUAACGAUACGGGACUCAUCCGAGGCCCCGUAAUCGGAAUGAGUACACUCUAAACCCUUUAACGAGUAUCCAUUGGAGGGCAAGUCUGGUGCCAGCAGCCGCGGUAAUUCCAGCUCCAAUAGCGUAUAUUAAAGUUGUUGCGGUUAAAAAGCUCGUAGUUGGACUUGUGUCCCACGCUGUCGGUUCACCGUUCGUCGGUGUUUAACUGGCAUGCCCGUGCGGACGUCCUGCCGGUGGAUGCGGUCGGCCGUGGGCCUCUCGGUCUGCGUGUCGGCGGUCCGAUGCAAUCCUACCGCGGUGCUCUUCACCGAGUGUCGAGGUGGGCCGGCACGUUUACUUUGAACAAAUUAGAGUGCUCAAAGCAGGCAGUGGUUCGCCUGAAUAUUGUGUGCAUGGAAUAAUGGAAUAGGACCUCGGUUCUAUUUUGUUGGUUUUCGGAACCUGAGGUAAUGAUUAAUAGGGACAGACGGGGGCAUUCGUAUUGCGACGUUAGAGGUGAAAUUCUUGGAUCGUCGCAAGACGAACCUAAGCGAAAGCAUUUGCCACGAGUGUUUUCAUUAAUCAAGAACGAAAGUUAGAGGUUCGAAGGCGAUCAGAUACCGCCCUAGUUCUAACCAUAAACGAUGCCAGCUAGCGAUCCGCCGAAGUUCCUCCGAUGACUCGGCGGGCAGCUUCCGGGAAACCAAAGCUUUUGGGUUCCGGGGGAAGUAUGGUUGCAAAGCUGAAACUUAAAGGAAUUGACGGAAGGGCACCACCAGGAGUGGAGCCUGCGGCUUAAUUUGACUCAACACGGGAAACCUCACCAGGCCCGGACACCGGAAGGAUUGACAGAUUGAUAGCUCUUUC